rnacentral:rRNA from 1 species
UACAAAGGGGGCUAGCGUUGCUCGGAAUCACUGGGCGUAAAGCGCACGUAGGCGGCUUUCUAAGUCAGGGGUGAAAUCCUGGAGCUCAACUCCAGAACUGCCUUCGAUACUGGAGAGCUCGAGUCCGGGAGAGGUGAGUGGAACUGCGAGUGUAGAGGUGAAAUUCGUAGAUAUUCGCAAGAACACCAGUGGCGAAGGCGGCUCACUGGCCCGGUACUGACGCUGAGGUGCGAAAGCGUGGGGAGCAAACAGG